rnacentral:rRNA from 1 species
CAGUCGCCGCGGUAAUACGUAGGUGGCAAGCGUUGUCCGGAAUUAUUGGGCGUAGAGGGCUCGCAGGCGGUUUCUUAAGUCUGAUGUGAAAGCCCCCGGCUCAACCGGGGAGGGUCAUUGGAAACUGGGAAACUUGAGUGCAGAAGAGGAGAGUGGAAUUCCACGUGCAGCGGUGAAAUGCGUAGAGAUGUGGAGGAACACCAGUGGCGAAGGCGACUCUCUGGUCUGUAACUGACGCUGAGGAGCGAAAGCGUGGGGAGCGAACAGGAUUAGAUACCCGAGUAGUCCCUGUCUCUUAUAC